rnacentral:lncRNA from 1 species
GAGAAGCUGGCUGCAAGGGCUGGGCUGGCCAAGGCUGGGGCAGUUGCAAAGGGUGGGAGCGCAGCAAGCGGAGAAAUACCCCUGAGUCAGCACUGGUGCAUUGGGAGGUGUCCCGGAGAGCCUGGCCCACGACAUGGACAGGGUGUCCGAAACGUACGCCCCUCUGUAUCACCCUCUAGUCAUGCACCCCCAUCUAAUUCUGAAACCAACUCUAGCCUCAUUUUUUCCCCUCCACGAUGAUGGGCUGUAAUGCACCCUGCUCUGAGGCCUGGGGGGAAUGGAAAGACAGAAUUCUCUUUCAAGCCCAACCCAGGCCCGGGGAACCCCCUAGAUGUUACUGUGGGGUCACAGACAAGGCCGUGGGGAUUUGACACGUGGGCAGGGACAAGGGCAACCCCAAAGCUAGUGGAUCUGACAUGGGGGUGACUGGGUGGUGUGGUGGGCAUCAUUUCAUUCACUGCAGUGGAUUUGCUGCCUGGGAAAUGCAACCCCCACCGUCCGAGGUCCGCUCCUGUCUUACUAGCUACUUAGCAGCCAGCUUCCCUGUUCUGCUCCCUGAGAGAUGAAGGUGUCCCAGGCUAAGAUCCCUCCAUCACCUGCCCAUCCCUGAGGGUCUCAUGUCACCUCAGCGGCUGGCACCUCCUCUUCCCAAACACCCCGUGGUGGCUUUGGCCCAGACAGUGCCUGCCUGAGGGAAGGAGGCCUCUGGCCAUAUGAAGACCGUAGAGGCCAGGGCGGCCAUCCCUUGUUCAUUUCAUCCUGUGUAGUUCCUUUCACAAGCCCCACUGGAGUCAUCUGCUCUUCCCCGGGACCCAUUUGUGAAGUUCCUGUCUCCCUUGACCUCCCCGUAGGGAACCAGAGACCAGUGGGCAGGGACAGAGUGCUGGGGGCCAACAGUGGCAUUUGCUCUGCAGCCCUCAACCAGCAGGCCUCUCCCUUGGCUAAUUCCAGGCAGGAAGGACACUCGUUUGUCAUCCAGGCUGGGAAGGGAGACACCAGAAGAGAAAAGUGUGUCUGGGCAGGCCAGGUCUGUUCUCUCCCUCUCCCGGGUGGAGAGGUCACAGAUACCUCCAUCCCAUGGAUGAGGGCAAACUAAAAAGUCCAGAGACAAACAGCUGGUCCUCGCAGCUUCCAGGGUUGGGAGUCAGAGGCUGGGAUGGGUUACGGUUCAGCCUGCUGCACAGGUGAGUCUCCAUCCUUAGCAUCCUGCCAUGCUGACUUCAAAAGACCCUAGUGCGUGGGACCCCAAUGACUCGUUUCGGUGUGCUGGGCUCAAAAUCGUUCGUGGCCAAGCACGUUAGUCUGGAAAAUUUAAGUUGCUGCAGAUUGAUGGACAGAAGGAGAGAUGGUUUUCAAUAUACAGGGAAUGUAUUUUAAAAUGGAGCAAGAGACAGGGCUGCAAGGAGGGAACGGGCACUUCGAAAGCAGCCAGUAGAAAGUCGCUCCUAAUUCUGGGGGAGGGAAUUGUGUUCAGCCUGCAGAGUGCUUUUCUAGUCCAGGCGAUGAUUUGGUCUAAGACUUCAUUAAACAUUUGUCUAUGAGCCCAAAUUUCCCCAAAUGACUGAGGUGUUUGGUAUGAGCACAUUGCAUGCCCCAGGGAGCUUCAACGCCAGCAGCUUCCUGCCACGGUACAGGCAGGUUCUCUAAGCACGAGCUUUCAAUUCAGGCUCCUGUCUAUAGCGAGAACCAGAACACAAUGCAGGGACCCACAGGGGUCAUGUGGCUCCACCAGCCUCAGCCGUUCCCAAAAGCCCAGCUGCUGUUUCAGGGGCUUGCCUGGAUAACUUAUAUCUGAGAGGUUUGCUGCACAUCCUUUGAGUGAUUUAUGGUGAGAUCUAAAAUUUCUUUGUAAAAAGAUACCCUUUUGCUUUGGGAGGGAUCACAAGGAGCUCAGCCCUCCAGUGCCCAGGACCACCUGGGCAGAUGCCACUGUUGGCACUGUAUAAUGUCGCCCCCCAUGCAGACCUGAUCUGAGCUCUGCGUGUCAGGGAAUGCCACUUCAGCAGUGCCAGCCUGGGAGCUCCUCCAGCCGGCACCUACUGAGGCAGCAAAUGACUUUGGGGAGGCCCUUUGGCUGGGUGCAUAGGAGUCUGGGUCCCAGAGACCAUAGCUCACAUGUCUCAGGCUGCUUAUGUACUUCCCCAGAAAGAGCCACUGUCCCAAGUGUGCUUCCUGCUGCUUUUGUGCAGUCCCAUCUAGACGAGCCCCUUAUGGAGACCCCUCCUCUUCUGCCUGGCACCCAAUGCUCCCAUCAUUCAACACCUGCUACCAACACAGAAGCAGUCCAUCCCCUUCUUAAAUGCUACAGCCUCUGCCCCGGCGGCCACUAAUCAUUCUAUUCGAGUUUCCCUCCAGAGCUCAUCUCAGUAAAUCCGGAAGAAGAAAACCUCCAUCCCCAGUGAACAAGACCAUGAAGGCUGCGUCAGUGUUCCCAGGUUUCAAGCCAAGCUGGAGAAAGAUCACAACAGAGACCAGACCCGCAUUCUCCGGCCCAAUUCCACAUGGCUGAGAGAGCCAGCUAACCAGACGCAAACACACGCGGCAGGAUGGCACGCGACUGAGGCAAGGAAUAAGCCUCAACUCAUCAGGCUGAGCACUCCCUGGUCCGAGGUACCCAACAAGCUGACCUGAGAAUGGGCUGCAUCCCCUUCCCUCCCUCCUUCCCUCCUUCCCUCCUCCUCUCCUUCCUCCUCCUCCUCCUCCUCCUCCUCCUCCUCCUCCUCCAGCUGACUCCUUCUGCUGCUGCCUCUGCCGCUGCUGCCUCUGCCGCUGCUGCGGUCUGCAGUCACUUGAAGGAGAAAGAUUUCGCAGUACGGCAUUCUUAAAGCUGCAGUGUCCAAAUUCUCCUUCAAACCCCACUGUCACCGACAUCAGCCAACUUACCGGGGUCCUUCGCAGAGGUGCUGUGCCGGUAAGCCAACGGGGAAGGACCUGGAUGGAGUUCUUAGCGCCCAGAGUUUCUGCAAAGUGCAGGCAGAGGACUCCGGCUUCUUAGGGGAGAAAGCUUUUUAAAACCCAAAGGAAAGGGGAUCUUUCUGCUGGCUAUCCAAGGAGCGUGUCAAUGAGCUGAUCUAGCAUCCAGAAACCAACACACCCCUCCCUGAAAGUUACCUCUCUCCUCUGCUCAGCUGCUGCCGUCCUGCCUGGAUGCUGGCAAGUUCAGACUGCUUCGGGAGAGGCAGGACCCGAAAUAAGAAGUGUCAGCUGGGUCCCUGCACCCAAAUGGUGCCGGGAGUCAAUGCUGCAGGAGGCAGGGAUGGUCUCCCCCACCAUGCACCCGCCCCCCGCCGGUUGAAUUUAAACCCCUGACACUGCAAGAUGCUCACUCCUAUAGAGACACCUCUCCGCGGAGCCUCCUCCCUCCCCCACGCUCUCACACAACUAGGUCCAAAGCUUUGCCCCACCUCCCAGAUUUGUUCACCUGAAGAUGCUUUUCUUGAAAAAACAAAACAAAACAAAAACAAAAACAGAAGAUUGAGACUCUGCAGAGUCUUUAAUCCUUAAUUCUGGAGAAGGCGGGACUUGUUCAAAAGUUUGAGAAUUGCAGCCUGAUGCCCAGGAAGGAGCAGAGGUGAUGAGCCGACAGUCUGCUUUGCACCAGACAAGUUGACACCGUUGCUUUAUCAAGAAGGGCAGAGGUAGACCCGGGGUGAAGAGAAGAGGAAAAUUCCUCUCCAUCCACUGGCAAAUUCUCAACCGUUUGGGAAAUCUCUAUUUUUGUUUUCCUUCAAGAAAACCCCAUUUAAAAAAUUGUCAGGCACAUGAAAUGUUCAAGAUUGCCACUAAGUGUCAAUUUUGUCCUGACACGUCUGUGAUUCUUAAAAUUCCCGUUCCUGCUUCUGUGAAAGUUAAUAGUCUUUAAGAUUGAGGUAGGGAUUUAAUUGAGAAAAUUCCAGGAGAGAGAAGCACUUUAAAUGCAGAUAUGGUUAAGAUAGCGCAUUCUAAUAUAACCCACAAGGGGUUAGGCAGAAUAGAUAUACUGAGAGGUAGAAGGUGGUCAGGAAUGUAGGUAUUUCCAGGUUUUGAGUUUAUCACAAACUCAGAGCCCAAGAAAGGAAAAUAAAGGAGGAAGUGUGUGUGUGUGUGUGUGUGUGUGUGUUUGAGCGGGGAGACUAAAACUCCCCUUCUAAAUAAACUGUUCAGAAAGACCAAUUGCAUCAAUUCCAUGUACAUUUCAUUACUGAAGUAAGACCAGGAGUGUGUGACUUGUUUCUAAACGGAGUGAGAGGGGAGGCUCUGCUGCCCGCAUCCUGCUUGGGACA